rnacentral:rRNA from 1 species
AGAGUUUGAUCCUGGCUCAGGACGAACGCUGGCGGCGUGCUUAACACAUGCAAGUCGAACGAAGCUUGAUUACGGAUUCUUCGGAUGAAGUAUGAUAUGACUGAGUGGCGGACGGGUGAGUAACGCGUGAGUAACCUGCCCUUCAGAGGGGGAUAGCGUUUGGAAACGAACGGUAAUACCGCAUAAUGUAUUUUGACCGCAUGAUCGAAAUACCAAAGAUUUAUCGCUGAAGGAUGGACUCGCGUCUGAUUAGGUAGUUGGUGGGGUAACGGCCUACCAAGCCGACGAUCAGUAGCCGGACUGAGAGGUUGAUCGGCCACAUUGGGACUGAGACACGGCCCAGACUCCUACGGGAGGCAGCAGUGGGGAAUAUUGCACAAUGGGCGCAAGCCUGAUGCAGCAACGCCGCGUGAAGGAAGACGGUUUUCGGAUUGUAAACUUCUGUUCUUAGUGAAGAAUAAUGACGGUAGCUAAGGAGCAAGCCACGGCUAACUACGUGCCAGCAGCCGCGGUAAUACGUAGGUGGCAAGCGUUGUCCGGAAUUACUGGGUGUAAAGGGAGCGCAGGCGGGUGAUCAAGUCAGCUGUGAAAACUACGGGCUUAACCCGUAGACUGCAGUUGAAACUGUUCAUCUUGAGUGAAGUAGAGGUUGGCGGAAUUCCGAGUGUAGCGGUGAAAUGCGUAGAUAUACGGAGGAACACCAGUGGCGAAGGCGGCCUACUGGGCUUUAACUGACGCUGAGGCUCGAAAGUGUGGGGAGCAAACAGGAUUAGAUACCCUGGUAGUCCACACUGUAAACGAUGAUUGCUAGGUGUGGGGGGUCUGACCCCUUCCGUGCCGGAGCUAACGCAAUAAGCAAUCCACCUGGGGAG